UCGGAUGUGGUGCAGGGUGCACAUCAGCUCCUGAUAUUUGUAUUGUCUACCUCUGCAGGCUGAAGACCGGGGUUCGACUCCCUACAUCCGAA